UUUAAUGAAGACAAGAAAAAA
rnacentral:piRNA from 1 species